AGGGGUAUAACUCAGUGGUAGAGUGCUUACCUGUCAAGCAUAAGGCACUGGGUUCUAUCCCCAGCAUUGCCA
rnacentral:tRNA from 1 species